UACGAAGGGGGCUAGCGUUGCUCGGAAUUACUGGGCGUAAAGCGCACGUAGGCGGUCCACUAAGUCGGGUGUGAAAGCCCUGGGCUCAACCCAGGAAGUGCACUCGAAACUGGCGGGCUAGAGUAUCGGAGAGGUUGGUGGAAUUCUCGGUGUAGAGGUGAAAUUCGUAGAUAUCGAGAGGAACACCGGUGGCGAAGGCGGCCAACUGGACGAAUACUGACGCUGAGACACGAAAGCGUGGGGAGCAAACAGG
rnacentral:rRNA from 1 species